UAUAAAAUAUAAUACUUAUUUUGUAGCCCUAAAAUCUCACUCACUCUCUCUCUCUCUCUCUAAACCGUCUGAACGUAUCGAUUCACCUCUCGCUGUAGCCCUAAUCGAAGUUCUCUCUCUCGAUUCAUCUCUAAACCCUUAUCAUUCUCACAGAUUCGUCUUUGAGAUUCAAAGCGAUUUCGGUUUCGAAGCUCCACCUCCACCACCGUUUGCACCUGCUCGAUUUCUCUUAUUUCGAUUUCAUCUGACUCUGUAAUUUCGAUUUCGAAGCCGCACCGCCACCGCCAUCUGCACCAGUGAGGUUGAGUUCAUUCCAAAAUUUAGUGUGAGGACAAUCUGGCAGAGAUGGCGUGAAUCAUAUCCGAAAGAUGGGACUAAGGCGGAUGAUGCUAUAAUUGUGUUUACGGGAGUAAGUCGAGUAUUUUAUGGCAUGAAUUAAAAUACUAUGUUCUGUGUUGUUCAGUGAUUGUCGUUUAUAUUUGCCAAUUUUCUCACUACCUAUGGCCCAAUUUGGGGACUUUGUUUUUUUGGUUUUUUCUGUUUGGUUUUUUCUCAUAAGGGAACACUUGGGACAAAGUAAUAUUUUAUUUAAAAAAACUAUGAAGCAUUUAUGGCCCACAAUGUGUUGAUUCCAGAUUUCAUAGGAUUGUCGUAAUGUUAUUGUUGCAAUGCUUUUUGUAAUAUGUAGGUUCCAACUAUGUAUACUCGAUUGAUACACGGUUAUAAACCAAACAACUUGAACUUAACUAACAUUUUUUUUGUGAUGAAUGAAAUCACUAAAUAAAAACAUACAAAUAAUAAGAUAACAUGCGUAAGCCAAAAAUCAAUAAGAUAUUGCAUACAAAAUCUAAAAAUUAAUACUUUUGAUCCCCAUCCAUCUCUGUCCAGAUUCCCCCCCUGAUUGAAGGGCUUUCAUUUAGCUAAUUUUCUGAAGUGUAGUCGUAACCAUGAGGAAAUUAAUACUUUUUCAGUGCCAACAUGGUGGAAUUCUUGGAAAAUAGCUUUUGUUUUUUUAUUUUUUUGAUAAGAAAGAUUUUAAAAUUUUGAUGAAAUAAAUACAGUCCCUAAUAUUUGGAUUCCACAUUAUGUAGCUGGGUUCUAGUAUCUUGGUCUGAUGCAUGAAAAAAGACAAGAUGCAUAAACUACAUGCUGAUUUGGGUCAAAUUUGUUUAUUUCAUUUCAUUGAUAAGAUGGAAAUGGUUCUGGAACUUAUUGUUUUCUAAUAUUUUCUUGAUAACCAAUGCAGAUACCUUUUGCUACUAGUUCUUUCUGUUUCUCAUUAUGCUUCAGCCUUUGAGGAGCUGUCUUGUUUUUCAAUCUGAAUUUGAAGAAUCACGCAGGGCGUGGGAAAAGCUGACAAUGAGUUGAAACAAGGAGAGCCAACAAUUGAACGCUUUUUUGAUUUGACCAGGUUCCAAUCCAAGUCACUCAAGCUAUUUCAGCCCAGGUACAUAAUUGUAAAUUACCUUGAUUUUUUAUUAUUGUCUUCCUCUUUCAAGGUCCUAGUCUAGGGUUUUCAUCUCAGGUACCCUCUCUCUCUCUCUCUCAGGGUUUUACCUUCGGAUCUUUGUUUUGCUGUGU